UGGGGGAUAGUUUAACGGUAGAACUUCCGGCUCUGGACCGGACGGCCCAGGUUCGAAUCCUGGUCCCCCAGCCA
rnacentral:tRNA from 1 species